AGUCGAACGCGUUGGCCCAAUUGAUUGACGGUGCUUGCACCUGAUUGAUUUUGGUCGCCAACGAGUGGCGGACGGGUGAGUAACACGUAGGUAACCUGCCCAGAAGCGGGGGACAACAUUUGGAAACAGAUGCUAAUACCGCAUAACAGCGUUGUUCGCAUGAACAACGCUUAAAAGAUGGCUUCUCGCUAUCACUUCUGGAUGGACCUGCGGUGCAUUAGCUUGUUGGUGGGGUAACGGCCUACCAAGGCGAUGAUGCAUAGCCGAGUUGAGAGACUGAUCGGCCACAAUGGGACUGAGACACGGCCCAUACUCCUACGGGAGGCAGCAGUAGGGAAUCUUCCACAAUGGGCGCAAGCCUGAUGGAGCAACACCGCGUGAGUGAAGAAGGGUUUCGGCUCGUAAAGCUCUGUUGUUAAAGAAGAACACGUAUGAGAGUAACUGUUCAUACGUUGACGGUAUUUAACCAGAAAGUCACGGCUAACUACGUGCCAGCAGCCGCGGUAAUACGUAGGUGGCAAGCGUUAUCCGGAUUUAUUGGGCGUAAAGAGAGUGCAGGCGGUUUUCUAAGUCUGAUGUGAAAGCCUUCGGCUUAACCGGAGAAGUGCAUCGGAAACUGGAUAACUUGAGUGCAGAAGAGGGUAGUGGAACUCCAUGUGUAGCGGUGGAAUGCGUAGAUAUAUGGAAGAACACCAGUGGCGAAGGCGGCUACCUGGUCUGCAACUGACGCUGAGACUCGAAAGCAUGGGUAGCGAACAGGAUUAGAUACCCUGGUAGUCCAUGCCGUAAACGAUGAGUGCUAGGUGUUGGAGGGUUUCCGCCCUUCAGUGCCGGAGCUAACGCAUUAAGCACUCCGCCUGGGGAGUACGACCGCAAGGUUGAAACUCAAAGGAAUUGACGGGGGCCCGCACAAGCGGUGGAGCAUGUGGUUUAAUUCGAAGCUACGCGAAGAACCUUACCAGGUCUUGACAUCUUGCGCCAACCCUAGAGAUAGGGCGUUUCCUUCGGGAACGCAAUGACAGGUGGUGCAUGGUCGUCGUCAGCUCGUGUCGUGAGAUGUUGGGUUAAGUCCCGCAACGAGCGCAACCCUUGUUACUAGUUGCCAGCAUUAAGUUGGGCACUCUAGUGAGACUGCCGGUGACAAACCGGAGGAAGGUGGGGACGACGUCAGAUCAUCAUGCCCCUUAUGACCUGGGCUACACACGUGCUACAAUGGACGGUACAACGAGUCGCGAACUCGCGAGGGCAAGCAAAUCUCUUAAAACCGUUCUCAGUUCGGACUGCAGGCUGCAACUCGCCUGCACGAAGUCGGAAUCGCUAGUAAUCGCGGAUCAGCAUGCCGCGGUGAAUACGUUCCCGGGCCUUGUACACACCGCCCGUCACACCAUGAGAGUUUGUAACACCCAAAGUCGGCUGGGGUAACCUUUUAGGAGCCAGCCGC
rnacentral:rRNA from 1 species